rnacentral:rRNA from 1 species
AUUCCAGCUCCAAUAGCGUAUAUUAAAGUUGUUGCGGUUAAAAAGCUCGUAGUUGGAUCUCGGUUUCACUCAGGCGGUACACCUUGCGGUGUUCACUGUCUGGGCGGACGUUUCUGUUGGUUCGCUGUUGGUUCUCUUAAUCGAGUGCCAAUUGGUGGCCAGCACGUUUACUUUGAAGAAAUUGGAGUGCUCAAAGCAGGCGUUACAGCCUGAACAUUAGUGCAUGGAAUAAUGGAAUAGGAUCUCGAUUCUAUUUCGUUGGCUUUCGGAGUCGAGGUAAUGAUUAAUAGGGACAGACGGGGGCAUUCGUACUGCGACGUUAGAGGUGAAAUUCUUGGAUCGUCGCAAGACGAACUACUGCGAAAGCAUUUGCCAAGAAUGUUUUCAUUAAUCAAGAACGAAAGUUAGAGGUUCGAAGGCGAUCAGAUACCGCCCUAGUUCUAACCAUAAACGAUGCCAACCGGCGAUCCGUCGUCGUUAAUUGAAUGACUCGACGGGCAGCCUCCGGGAAACCAGAGUGUUUGGGUUCCGGGGGAAGUAUGGUUGCAAAGCUGAAACUUAAAGGAAUUGACGGAAGGGCACCACCAGGAGUGGAGCCUGCGGCUUAAUUUGACCCAACACGGGAAAUCUCACCAGGCCCGGACACCGGAAGGAUUGACAGAUUGAGAGCUCUUUCUUGAUUCGGUGGGUGGUGGUGCAUGGCCGUUCUUAGUUGGUGGAGCGAUUUGUCUGGUUAAUUCCGAUAACGAACGAGACUCUGGCCUACUAACUAGAAGGGUCGUUCUUUACGAGCGGCCCUCUGCUUCUUAGAGGGACGGGCGGCGUUUAGCCGCACGAGAAUGAGCAAUAACAGGUCUGUGAUGCCCUUAGAUGUUCUGGGCUGCACGCGCGCUACACUGAAGGAAUCAGCAUGUUCUCCCCUCCCUGAAAAGGGCGGGUAACCCGUUGAAACUCCUUCGUGAUGGGGAUUGGAGAUUGUAAUUAUUCUCCAUGAACGAGGAAUUCCCAGUAGGCGCGAGUCAUCAGCUUGCGUCGAUUACGUCCCUGCCCUUUGUACACACCGCCCGUCGCUACUACCGAUCGAGUGAUUUAGUGAGGACUUCGGACUGGUCUCCAAGUUGGCUUCGGUCAGCUCGGAGUUCCGGAAAGAUGCCCAAACUUGAUCACUUAGAGGAAGUAAAAGUCGUA